AUCUUUGGGGCCACAUUUUCUAAUUUGAUGCGUGGUUCAGGUGAAGUUAGAUGUAUCUCAACUCCAUGACAUAUCAGAUGAUGUUGAUUUCUGUAGUAAGUUGGCCAGGGAAGAAUCAGUAAUCUUGAUGCCAGGGAUUGCUCUUGCGAUGCCGGGAUGGCUACGGAUUGCUUUUGCUAUUUCCCCCCAUCUUUUGGAAGAUGGAAUCAAGAGGAUUCAGUCCUUUUGUCAAAGGCACUCAAAGCAUCAAUAAAAGCCCACUCCUAGUCAUCAUGUUGGUUGGUACAUGGCAAGGCAGAAAAGGCAACGCCCUGUUGCCUUAUCCAUCAUCUCCAUUUGUGGCAAUAAGAUAAUAGUGAAAUUAUUCAUGAAUCAUGUAUGUAUGGUUUGGAUUGUUAAGAAUUGUACUGCAAAUGUUAGUCAUAGACAAUAUGCUUGCCUGGAAUGAUUGAUUGUGAAUUAUUGAUGUUA